rnacentral:rRNA from 1 species
UACGGGGGGGGCAAGCGUUGUUCGGAAUUACUGGGCGUAAAGGGCGCGCAGGCGGCCUGCUAAGUCGGACGUGAAAUCCCCCGGCUCAACCGGGGAACUGCGUCCGAUACUGGUGGGCUCGAAUCCGGGAGAGGGAUGUGGAAUUCCAGGUGUAGCGGUGAAAUGCGUAGAUAUCUGGAGGAACACCGGUGGCGAAGGCGGCAUCCUGGACCGGCAUUGACGCUGAGGCGCGAAAGCCAGGGGAGCAAACGGG